CACAGGCGGAGGGCCCGGCGCUGCCCGGCCGGGGCAUGGAGCAAACCUGAGGGCCGCCCUGGGCAGGGGUGCUGGGAAGGUGGUAUCCGCGGGGUUCUGCCGAGUGGAACGGCUCGUGUGUUAUGCCAUCAGAUCCAACAAUUAAUGGUCUUCAAUCCAGUCUUCAGGCUGCUGAGCUCCUCCUUUUGUACAGUCCUUUUCCAGAAGCACAUCUCUGAUUUAUGCAGCUUGACAAAAUCCUAAACCUGCAGUCUCCUUGUCCUCCUGUUAAAUGGCUUGCAUGUGUCUCCAUCCUCACCAUGCCUUCUCAGAGAGCACUGGUGUUGUGCAUCUCUCCAUCCCUCCGAGGUGCAUUUGGCCUUCCUUCUCUGCGAUUCCUCCCCUUCCCUUUUUCCUGACACAGACUCAAGUUUUAAAAAUCCAUUUUCCUUCUCUGAGCCACCAUUAUGCACAAAUACUUCUCUGCUCUUCUUCACAUGCCACCAAUUUCCUCCAGAACCUGUCACUCUCAUCUGGCUACUUAACUGUGUAAUGAUAUGAAAUAUUCACUCUAAUGAGCCCCUGCUGUGGAUACCACUUGAUCCUGCCUUGUUUUUGUUCUUUUUGACUCUGACCUCACUGAAUGUUGUACUUCGACUUUCCUUCUCCCAAAUUUCAAACUGCUUCCUGAAGCUACACCAUACGUGCAUAUGUACAGCUCAUACAACAUACGUCUUUUCUGCUGAUGUUUUCAGAAGGAACAAGGGCUAUCUUGAUGGGAAUUUUCAGCAAAUACCACGUGAUCAGUCUCGGACAGCUGCCAUGGAAACUUCAUCCUGAAGUUUUGCAAAGUAGAUGAAAAUAAAAUUUUGUAAUGAAAAAUGUCAGGGAACCUAAAUAGCAGACUGUUCCUUGGUGGUUAGUCCUUUGGCAAUUGGAAAGCACAGAGCUGCCAGCCCUUCAGCCUCAUGCACAGAAAUCAGCAUAUGUGGGACGAACAACCUGAUUAAAUGAAUACGAUUUAAGUUUUCAAGUGAAAGGGAAUCCAGAAGAACUACCCUAGUUGUGGCUUUAAAUACUGAACUUCUAAAUACUACCUCUGUUUUCUAUACCUUUGUGAUGCACCUACACAAACUAAUGGAAGGAUGAAAUGAUAGCACAGGGGCCUGGAGAUUGCUGCAUUCACGCUUUGUUUGCUUUGCUCAGGAUGGAAAGGCAGCAGGGUUGGGAAGAGCCAGCUACAGAGGAUGCUCUUCUGACAUGGUGGUUUGUUCGAUGGGCCUGAUCUAGAGCUAUCUCGCAUAAUUAAGAUCUGAGAAAAGACAACCUUCUGUCCCUUCCCCAUAAAUCUGUGUUUGCAUUCAAAUGGUGAGUUGGAAUAUUGGAGUAAGUCUUCUUUUUUUCUUCUCCUUUGGGAUAUGAUAAAUUUUGCAAUUGCCAGAAUAAAUACAGAUUUAUC
ensembl:lncRNA